rnacentral:sRNA from 1 species
GCCCCGGCCAGCGCCGCCUGGAGGAGCGUCCUCAGGGUCUCCCCGCGCCCAGGGGUGGCCUGGAGGCCAAGCAGAUGUGGCAGUUCUGCAGCAGAAGCAUCUGCCACAAAAGCGGAAGAUGACUCCUUUCUUCAGUGGGUCCUGCUCCUCAUCCCUGUGACUGCCUUUGGCUUGGGGACAUGGCAGGUCCAGCGUCGGAAGUGGAAGCUGAACCUGAUUGCAGAGUUGGAGUCCAGAGUUCUGGCUGAGCCUGUCCCUCUGCCAGCGGACCCAAUGGAACUGAAAAAUCUGGAGUAUAGGCCAGUGAAGGUCAGGGGGUGCUUUGACCACUCCAAGGAGCUGUAUAUGAUGCCCCGGACCAUGGUGGACCCUGUCCGGGAGGCCCGGGAGGGCGGCCUCAUCUCCUCCUCAACUCAGAGUGGGGCCUAUGUGGUCACUCCCUUCCACUGCACCGACCUGGGGAAGAAAGUGAAUCCUGAAACCCGGCAGAAAGGCCAGAUUGAGGGAGAAGUGGACCUCAUUGGGAUGGUGAGGCUGACAGAAACCAGGCAGCCUUUUGUCCCUGAGAACAAUCCAGAAAGGAACCACUGGCAUUAUCGAGACCUGGAAGCUAUGGCCAGAAUCACAGGCGCAGAGCCCAUCUUCAUUGAUGCCAACUUCCAGAGCACAGUCCCUGGAGGACCCAUUGGAGGGCAAACCAGAGUUACUCUGAGGAACGAGCAUCUGCAGUACAUCGUGACCUGGUGAGUCCCCAGCGGCCCUCUGGCUUCCUCCCCUUCAGCCUAGCAGCCUGCUAAUGCUGGCUUGCUUUCAACCCCUAGGUAUGGACUCUCUGCAGCUACAUCCUACCUGUGGUUUAAGAAAUUCCUACGUGGGACACCUGGUGUGUGA